CAGUCGAGCGGACGGAUGGGAGCUUGCUCCCUGAAGUCAGCGGCGGACGGGUGAGUAACACGUGGGCAACCUGCCUGUAAGACUGGGAUAACUUCGGGAAACCGGAGCUAAUACCGGAUAAUGCAUUUCCCCUCAUGGGGAUAUGCUGAAAGAUGGUUUCGGCUAUCACUUACAGAUGGGCCCGCGGCGCAUUAGCUAGUUGGUGAGGUAACGGCUCACCAAGGCAACGAUGCGUAGCCGACCUGAGAGGGUGAUCGGCCACACUGGGACUGAGACACGGCCCAGACUCCUACGGGAGGCAGCAGUAGGGAAUCUUCCGCAAUGGACGAAAGUCUGACGGAGCAACGCCGCGUGAGUGAUGAAGGUUUUCGGAUCGUAAAACUCUGUUGUCAGGGAAGAACAAGUGCCGGAGUAACUGCCGGCACCUUGACGGUACCUGACCAGAAAGCCACGGCUAACUACGUGCCAGCAGCCGCGGUAAUACGUAGGUGGCAAGCGUUGUCCGGAAUUAUUGGGCGUAAAGCGCGCGCAGGCGGUCUCUUAAGUCUGAUGUGAAAGCCCACGGCUCAACCGUGGAGGGUCAUUGGAAA
rnacentral:rRNA from 1 species